rnacentral:rRNA from 1 species
AGAGUUUGAUCCUGGCUCAGGAUGAACGCUAGCGGGAGGCCUAACACAUGCAAGCCGAGCGGUAUUUGUUCUUCGGAACAGAGAGAGCGGCGUACGGGUGCGGAACACGUGUGCAACCUGCCUUUAUCAGGGGGAUAGCCUUUCGAAAGGAAGAUUAAUACCCCAUAAUAUAAUGAGUGGCAUCACUUAUUAUUGAAAACUCCGGUGGAUAAAGAUGGGCACGCGCAAGAUUAGAUAGUUGGUGAGGUAACGGCUCACCAAGUCAGUGAUCUUUAGGGGGCCUGAGAGGGUGAUCCCCCACACUGGUACUGAGACACGGACCAGACUCCUACGGGAGGCAGCAGUGAGGAAUAUUGGACAAUGGGUUAGCGCCUGAUCCAGCCAUCCCGCGUGAAGGACGACGGCCCUAUGGGUUGUAAACUUCUUUUGUAUAGGGAUAAACCUUUCCACGUGUGGAAAGCUGAAGGUACUAUACGAAUAAGCACCGGCUAACUCCGUGCCAGCAGCCGCGGUAAUACGGAGGGUGCAAGCGUUAUCCGGAUUUAUUGGGUUUAAAGGGUCCGUAGGCGGAUCUGUAAGUCAGUGGUGAAAUCUCACAGCUUAACUGUGAAACUGCCAUUGAUACUGCAGGUCUUGAGUAAGGUAGAAGUAGCUGGAAUAAGUAGUGUAGCGGUGAAAUGCAUAGAUAUUACUUAGAACACCAAUUGCGAAGGCAGGUUACUAUGUCUUAACUGACGCUGAUGGACGAAAGCGUGGGGAGCGAACAGGAUUAGAUACCCUGGUAGUCCACGCCGUAAACGAUGCUAACUCGUUUUUGGGUUUUCGGAUUCAGAGACUAAGCGAAAGUGAUAAGUUAGCCACCUGGGGAGUACGUUCGCAAGAAUGAAACUCAAAGGAAUUGACGGGGGCCCGCACAAGCGGUGGAUUAUGUGGUUUAAUUCGAUGAUACGCGAGGAACCUUACCAAGGCUUAAAUGGGAAUUGAUCGGUUUAGAAAUAGACCUUCCUUCGGGCAAUUUUCAAGGUGCUGCAUGGUUGUCGUCAGCUCGUGCCGUGAGGUGUUAGGUUAAGUCCUGCAACGAGCGCAACCCCUGUCACUAGUUGCCAUCAUUAAGUUGGGGACUCUAGUGAGACUGCCUACGCAAGUAGAGAGGAAGGUGGGGAUGACGUCAAAUCAUCACGGCCCUUACGCCUUGGGCCACACACGUAAUACAAUGGCCGGUACAGAGGGCAGCUACACAGCGAUGUGAUGCAAAUCUCGAAAGCCGGUCUCAGUUCGGAUUGGAGUCUGCAACUCGACUCUAUGAAGCUGGAAUCGCUAGUAAUCGCGCAUCAGCCAUGGCGCGGUGAAUACGUUCCCGGGCCUUGUACACACCGCCCGUCAAGCCAUGGAAGUCUGGGGUACCUGAAGUCGGUGACCGUAAAAGGAGCUGCCUAGGGU